GGAGGGGUGCCAGAGCGGUUUAAUGGAACGGUCUUGAAAACCGUCGUGGCGCAAGCCACCGUGGGUUCGAAUCCCACCCCCUCCGCCA
rnacentral:tRNA from 1 species